AGAGCAUGUAGCUCAGUGGAUAGAGCCUCAGAUUCCGAUUCUGAUGGUCGAGGGUUCAAGUCCCUCCAUGCUCUAC
rnacentral:tRNA from 1 species